AGGUCUCGCCUGCCCAGUGAUCUCUUUUUUAACGGCCGCGGUAUCCUAACCGUGCAAAGGUAGCGUAAUCAUUUGUCUCCUAAAUAGAGACUUGUAUGAACGGCUAACUGAGGGCCUAACUGUCUCCUAGGGCCGAUCAAUGAAACUGAUCUUCCAGUACAAAAGCUGAAAUACACCCAUAAGACGAGAAGACCCUGUGGAGCUUUAAACUAAUAUUAUAAACUCAGGCGCACCAUAACCCUCUUUCACCAUAAUAAAAGUUUUUAGUUGGGGCGACUUUGGAAUAAAACAAAACUUCCAUGCCAGGAACCCACCCCUAUCAAGGCAAACGUGCCAAAAUACAACUUUUUGACCCAGUACAUCUGAUCAACGAACCAAGUUACCCCAGGGAUAACAGCGCCAUCCUCUUCAAGAGUCCCUAUCGACAAGAGGGUUUACGACCUCGAUGUUGGAUCAGGACACCCCGGUGGUGCAACCGCUACCAAAGGUUCGUUUGUUCAACGAUUAAUAGUCCUACGUGAUCUGAGUCA
rnacentral:rRNA from 1 species